rnacentral:rRNA from 1 species
GGGGAGUUAGUGACAAAAAAAUAMCGAUACGGGACUCUUUAUGAGGCCCCGUAAUCGGAAAUGAGUACACUUUAAAUCCUUUAACAAGGAUCCAUUGAAGGGCAAGUCUGGUGCCAGCAGCCGCGGUAAUUCCAGCUUCAAUAGCGUAUAUUAAAGUUGUUGCGGUUAAAAAGCUCGUAGUUGGUUCUGCGUGCCACGCUGUCGGUUCGCCGCCUGCCGGUGUAACUGGCAUGCCGUGGCAUGUCCUGUCGGUGGCGUUCGGGAGCCUCGUCUAGGUGACGGCCCUUGCCACAAGCUUGGUGUCCGGAGGCCGGGGGUAUACUCGUUCGCCUACUCUAUCCUACCUAGGUGCUCUUCACCGAGUGUCGAGGUAGGCCGACACGUUUACUUUGAACAAAUUAGAGUGCUCAAAGCAGGCUGAAAUCUCUGCCUGAAUAGUGGUGCAUGGAAUAAUAAAACAGGACCUUGGUUCUAUUUUGUUGGUUCUUAGGAACACAAGGUAAUGAUCAAUACGGACAGGCGGGGGCAUUCGUAUUGCGACGUUAGAGGUGAAAUUCUUGGAUCGUCGCAAGACGCACAAGAGCGAAAGCAUUUGCCAAGUAUGUCUUGAUUGAUCAAGAACGAAAGUUAGAGGUUCGAAGGCGAUCAGAUACCGCCCUAGUUCUAACCAUAAACGAUGCCAGCCAGCGAUCCGCCGAUGUUCCUCCGAUGACUCGGCGGGGAGCUUCUUCCCGGGAAACCAAAGCUUUUGGGUUCCGGGGGAAGUAUGGUUGCAAAGCUGAAACUUAAAGGAAUUGACGGAAGGGCACCACCAGGAGUGGAGCCUGCGGCUUAAUUAUGACUCAACACGGGAAACCUCACCAGGCCAGGACAUUGGAAGGAUUGACAGAUUGAUAGCUCUUUCUUGAUUCAGUGGGUAGUGGUGCAUGGCCGUUCUUAGUUGGUGGAUCGAUUUGUCUGGUUAAUUCCGAUAACGAACGAGACUCUAGCCUAUUAACUAGGCGUUUACCGGUGUCCCCGCCACCGGCGACAAUCAUUCUUCUUAAGGGGACAGGCGGCUUAUAGCCGCACGAGAUUGAGCAAUAACAGGUCUGUGAUGCCCUUAGAUGUCCUGGGCCGCACGCGCGCUACACUGAAGGAAUCAGCGUGUGCCUCCCUGGCCGAAAGGCCCGGGUAAUCCGCUGAACCUCCUGCGUGCUAGGAAUUGGGGCUUGCAAUUGUUCCCCAUGAACGAGGAAUUCCCAGUAAGCGCGAGUCAUAAGCUCGCGUUGAUUACGUCCCUGCCCUUUGUACACACCGCCCGUCGCUACUACCGAUUGAAUGAUUUAGUGAGGUCUUCGGACUGGCGGUAAUCCCUA